UGCUCAUGGAUCUUUAUUGAGCUUCAGUGAGGGGAGGGUGCAGUAUUUAGCCCUGGAAGAGCACAGCAUAGGAGUCUUGGUCCCACAGGGAAGCCAAAUACCACAAACCUCCCAAUGACAAUCCCUCUCCCAUGGCAGCAUAUGCCUGCAGUAUACUUGAGAGCAGAUGAGGAUCAGAUCGCUGCUAAAAAUGCAGAGACCGAUGGGGUGCUCAGCACCAGGAGUCUUGAUCAGGGACGCCUUUCAGGGGGAGUAGAGUGAGAAGACAGGAAACCACACAGCAGGGCAGGGCGAGGGUGAGGCAAGGGACACAUUUGUCUCUGGUGCAAAUCUAAGGGUGUACCAAAAACAUAGUGCUCAAGGCUGUGAGAUGGCUUCACUGAAGAGACUUCAAGUGGGGAAGGAGAGCACCUGAACUUAGCAUUGGUGAUCACCAGAAAGGAAUACAACAUGAAAGAGUAACAUAUUCAAAAGGUAUAGAAUAAGGGAAAAUGGAAGGGAAGGCUGGGAAUAAUACGAGGGGCCUUCAGGAAGAAGUUUUUGGAAAAUGGAAUCAAGAGGUAAGUUUGCUUUGGUGCAAACAAUUUUUAAAAUUCAUGCAUAGUUUAUUUUCAUAAGACACAUUUUUCCAUGAACUUUUUUGAGGAUCUUUCAACCACUGAUUCCCAAGUUGCUCUGCCAGGGAUACUUAUGGGGUAGAUUUAGGAUGGACCCCGUUGUCUCAAGGGUGGUAGGGCGUUUGGACAACUAAAGUCUAACAAAUCAACAGGAGGACUUGGGGGAAAUGUUCUAUGUGAGUGGACACUCUUUCAUGGGAGGUAUUCCUUGGGACGUUGCUAGGAUGAGACUAUAAUCUUUGUAACACACGAGGCUGGAAGAUUCUUCGGGAACCCACCUUCUCUUUAUUUUGACUUGGAGUUGCAUGCCUUUGCCUUCCUGUAACCCUCCAAAAUUGUUUUGUGCUGAUUUUCUCCUGAUGAGCCCCACCUUGCUCUGUAGCCCCAGCACCGACUCCCCAAGAGCCUCCUUGGGGAAGUGAACGGGUGGUGGGAAUGUCACCGCAAAGGUCACUUCUCUGGUUAACUAAUGGCCGUCUGGCAUCUGGCAAGGGGGAUGCAGGUCACAAAUGUCUCCAUGCUGGGCCCGUCACUAUUCAGAGAGAACAGUGGAGGGAUCAGAGGGUCCCCACCCCCUCCCCGAGGCCACACAUCUUUGUCUCCCACACAAGGCUCCACUUGUGCUUUCAGUAGCAAAACCUUGACAUACUUAAUGUCUUAAGAAAUCUGCGCCUAUCUGCCCAAAUGCAAGGUCCCUUUGUGCAGCCUCGCCGGUGCCUGGUCAUCAGCAAGCAGCAACCUCUUGACUCCGCCAGACUUUGAAAGGUUCAGCUAAACUGUCCACACGGCCGCAAAGAGCUCUUGGCUGCAACUUGUCUCCAGCCGCCCUGGGAGCAGAAAGACCUUCGUGGGCCAGACGCGGGGUCACAGAGUCAAAAAAGCUCUGGGGGCAGCCGCCCUUUCUUCAGAAUCAGACAGGCUGACCAGCAAACCUGAAUGCCUCCCCGGACUCUGCUAAUAAAUCAGUGAGCAGCAGCAGGGGCGCCGCACGGGUGCCGAAACAUGAGCGCAGACUUUCAAGCAAAGCAUUUCAAAGUUUUGCUUUUGCCCCCAGUGGAACCAGAAGUCCCAGAGCAGGGGGGGAAAGCCUAACUCUAUCAAGGAGGGGAAUUUGGGGUUGCCAGCCUCACAAUUCUGUUAACCACCGUGAUUCUCCCCAGAUGUUCUUUCUUAAAUGCAAAAGCAACAUUUUCUUGCCAAGAAAUGGCACGAUUGAUCAAGCCUUCCUUAAAUCAUUUCAUCUUAUCCACUCUCGUCUGAAGGAGCAGAUAUUGCAUUAAUAUUAAUUUUCGGGUUGGCUCCCUUGAGAGAGAAAUGCCCCCAGUAACCCCCUUCCAAUUACUGCCACCACCGCGGGGAUGUGAAUUUAGAGGAGGAAGCUACCGAGGCAGGGGCUGCAGUUGUUUUAUUAGCAACAGCUGGUGCCAGUCCUCUGCCUGAUUCUUUCUUUUUUCUUCUUUUUCUUCUUCUCCUUUUUUUUUUUUUUUAAAUGCUAUGCUUGUCAGAUCCAGCUUCUCGAGACUGGAUGGCAAAGGGUAAGACAAGAACACGGCGUAUUUCAGCUUUUGCAUGCAGAAAAGGAGCUUUAUGCUAAACAGGGUGCAGGCAGCGUUUCGAAGCUGAUUAAGAAACUUUACAUAAGAGUUUUGCUCUCAAUAUUGCGUAGGUAACACUUGAGCAAUUAGACAAACACAUUAAGCCACUGAAACCACCUGUAAGAUUUGAAAAAAAAAAAUCCUGUUGUCUUCCCUUCUCAUUUGCUCAAGAUGCUUGAAUAGCCAGGAAAAUGUGGGCUGCAC